AUAGGCUCGUGAAGUUUGUUCCAUUUUGCUUUGCUCGGACCUGGGGUAGGGAAGUCAGAUAGAAUUCUAUUUAUUUAUGCUAUGAAAUGGUAAGAUGGGUUCACUACACCAAAAAUCCCUUUUUGCAACACAUAAGUAUAACAGUAUUGCAAAAGUAUUAUAAUAGAUAAAAAAUACUAAAAUACCUAAAAUAUCUCAAAAAAAAAAAAAAAAAAAGGCGGCAAAUGAAUUAUUAUUCCCAAAAAAAAAAAAUCUCAAAUAAAAACCCUAUCUCUAAGCCCGUCUCCUCACUCACUCUUCCCCGAUCCCUCUCCUUCUCUCUCUCUCUCCUGCUCCCUCAACUACGACGGCGAGGGGAUAUACGAGGCUUCAACCACGGUGGAGGUCGACGGGGCUGACAGAGGCUCAGCGGGACUGCCGGAGGCUCGACGACGUGGACUCGGAGACUCGUUGGUGCAGGUAAAGAUCUCUCUCUCUCUCUCUCGUUCUGUUUUAUAGUCGACGUCGACUGGGUGGUGUGGGCUGGAGAUGGUGGUGCGACGGGGUGCCAUGGGUGUUCAAUUCCUGUCAAAUUGAAGGAGUGAAGUCCACUCGACUUCCCUCUUACGCCACUUUUCCCCAUGUUUUGGCUUCAAAUGGAGUGAACCCCUAGAGACCUUGAAGGAAACGGAAGCAAGAGCUCUACUAGGAAGACUUGAGUAUCAAAAGGGUAACAUAGAAGCUGCACUUCAUGUAUUUGAAGGAAUAGACAUUGCUGCAGUGACUCCUAGGAUGAAAGGAUCCAUUUCUAGAAGAUGUGAACAAAAUAGACGUCGUUCACAGAGUGAUUCUGUCCCACCUAUGUCCAUGCACGCUGUUAGUAUGCUCCUUGAAGCUGUUUUUCUCAAAGAAAAAUCAUUGCAAGGCCUUGGACGA